GAUGAACGCUGGCGGCGUGCCUAAUACAUGCAAGUCGAGCGAACAGACGAGGAGCUUGCUCCUUUGACGUUAGCGGCGGACGGGUGAGUAACACGUAGGUAACCUACCUCUAAGACUGGGAUAACUUCGGGAAACCGGAGCUAAUACCGGAUAAUAUUUCGAACCGCAUGGUUCGAUAGUGAAAGAUGGCUUUGCUAUCACUUAUAGAUGGACCUGCGCCGUAUUAGCUAGUUGGUAAGGUAACGGCUUACCAAGGCAACGAUACGUAGCCGACCUGAGAGGGUGAUCGGGCACACUGGAACUGAGACACGGUCCAGACUCCUACGGGAGGCAGCAGUAGGGAAUCUUCCGCAAUGGGCGAAAGCCUGACGGAGCAACGCCGCGUGAGUGAUGAAGGUCUUCGGAUCGUAAAACUCUGUUAUUAGGGAAGAACAACCGUGUAAGUAACUGUGCACGUCUUGACGGUACCUAAUCAGAAAGCCACGGCUAACUACGUG
rnacentral:rRNA from 1 species